rnacentral:rRNA from 1 species
GGGUUGUGAGGUUAAGCGACUAAGCGUACACGGUGGAUGCCCUGGCAGUCAGAGGCGAUGAAGGACGUGCUAAUCUGCGAAAAGCGCCGGCGAGGUGAUAUGAACCCUUGACCCGGCGAUGUCCGAAUGGGGAAACCCAGUGUGAUUCGUCACACUAUCGUUAACUGAAUACAUAGGUUAACGAGGCGAACCGGGGGAACUGAAACAUCUAAGUACCCCGAGGAAAAGAAAUCAACCGAGAUUCCCCCAGUAGCGGCGAGCGAACGGGGAGCAGCCCAGAGUCUGAAUCAGCUUGUGUGUUAGUGGAAGCGUCUGGAAAGUCGCACGGUACAGGGUGAAAGUCCCGUACACGAAAAUGCACAGGCUGUGAACUCGAAGAGUAGGGCGGGACACGUGGUAUCCUGUCUGAAUAUGGGGGGACCAUCCUCCAAGGCUAAAUACUCCUGACUGACCGAUAGUGAACCAGUACCGUGAGGGAAAGGCGAAAAGAACCCCGGCGAGGGGAGUGAAAAAGAACCUGAAACCGUGUACGUACAAGCAGUGGGAGCACCUUCGUGGUGUGACUGCGUACCUUUUGUAUAAUGGGUCAGCGACUUAUAUUCUGUAGCAAGGUUAACCGUAUAGGGGAGCCGAAGGGAAACCGAGUCUUAACUGGGCGUUAAGUUGCAGGGUAUAGACCCGAAACCCGGUGAUCUAGCCAUGGGCAGGUUGAAGGUUGGGUAACACUAACUGGAGGACCGAACCGACUAAUGUUGAAAAAUUAGCGGAUGACCUGUGGCUGGGGGUGAAAGGCCAAUCAAACCGGGAGAUAGCUGGUUCUCCCCGAAAGCUAUUUAGGUAGCGCCUCGUGAACUCAUCUUCGGGGGUAGAGCACUGUUUCGGCUAGGGGCCAUCCCGGCUUACCAACCCGAUGCAAACUACGAAUACCGAAGAAUGUUAUCACGGGAGACACACGGCGGGUGCUAACGUCCGUCGUGAAGAGGGAAACAACCCAGACCGCCAGCUAAGGUCCCAAAGUCAUGGUUAAGUGGGAAACGAUGUGGGAAGGCCCAGACAGCCAGGAUGUUGGCUUAGAAGCAGCCAUCAUUUAAAGAAAGCGUAAUAGCUCACUGGUCGAGUCGGCCUGCGCGGAAGAUGUAACGGGGCUAAACCAUGCACCGAAGCUGCGGCAGCGACGCUUAUGCGUUGUUGGGUAGGGGAGCGUUCUGUAAGCCGUUGAAGGUGGCCUGUGAGGGUUGCUGGAGGUAUCAGAAGUGCGAAUGCUGACAUAAGUAACGAUAAAGCGGGUGAAAAGCCCGCUCGCCGGAAGACCAAGGGUUCCUGUCCAACGUUAAUCGGGGCAGGGUGAGUCGACCCCUAAGGCGAGGCCGAAAGGCGUAGUCGAUGGGAAACAGGUUAAUAUUCCUGUACUUGGUGUUACUGCGAAGGGGGACGGAGAAGGCUAUGUUAGCCGGGCGACGGUUGUCCCGGUUUAAGCAUGUAGGCGGAGGUUCCAGGUAAAUCCGGUACCUUUUAACGCUGAGGUGUGAUGACGAGGCACUACGGUGCUGAAGUAACAAAUGCCCUGCUUCCAGGAAAAGCCUCUAAGCAUCAGGUAACACGAAAUCGUACCCCAAACCGACACAGGUGGUCAGGUAGAGAAUACCAAGGCGCUUGAGAGAACUCGGGUGAAGGAACUAGGCAAAAUGGUGCCGUAACUUCGGGAGAAGGCACGCUGAUAUGUAGGUGAAGCCCCUGCGGGUGGAGCUGAAAUCAGUCGAAGAUACCAGCUGGCUGCAACUGUUUAUUAAAAACACAGCACUGUGCAAACACGAAAGUGGACGUAUACGGUGUGACGCCUGCCCGGUGCCGGAAGGUUAAUUGAUGGGGUUAGCGGUAACGCGAAGCUCUUGAUCGAAGCCCCGGUAAACGGCGGCCGUAACUAUAACGGUCCUAAGGUAGCGAAAUUCCUUGUCGGGUAAGUUCCGACCUGCACGAAUGGCGUAAUGAUGGCCAGGCUGUCUCCACCCGAGACUCAGUGAAAUUGAACUCGCUGUGAAGAUGCAGUGUACCCGCGGCAAGACGGAAAGACCCCGUGAACCUUUACUAUAGCUUGACACUGAACACUGGUCCUUGAUGUGUAGGAUAGGUGGGAGGCUUUGAAGCGUGGACGCCAGUCUGCGUGGAGCCAUCCUUGAAAUACCACCCUUUAAUGGCUGGUGUUCUAACGUAGACCCGUAAUCCGGGUUGCGGACAGUGUCUGGUGGGUAGUUUGACUGGGGCGGUCUCCUCCCAAAGAGUAACGGAGGAGCACGAAGGUUAGCUAAUCCUGGUCGGACAUCAGGAGGUUAGUGCAAUGGCAUAAGCUAGCUUGACUGCGAGAGUGACGGCUCGAGCAGGUGCGAAAGCAGGUCAUAGUGAUCCGGUGGUUCUGAAUGGAAGGGCCAUCGCUCAACGGAUAAAAGGUACUCCGGGGAUAACAGGCUGAUACCGCCCAAGAGUUCAUAUCGACGGCGGUGUUUGGCACCUCGAUGUCGGCUCAUCACAUCCUGGGGCUGAAGUAGGUCCCAAGGGUAUGGCUGUUCGCCAUUUAAAGUGGUACGCGAGCUGGGUUUAGAACGUCGUGAGACAGUUCGGUCCCUAUCUGCCGUGGGCGCUGGAGAAUUGAGGGGGGCUGCUCCUAGUACGAGAGGACCGGAGUGGACGCAUCACUGGUGUUCGGGUUGUCAUGCCAAUGGCACUGCCCGGUAGCUAAAUGCGGAAGAGAUAAGUGCUGAAAGCAUCUAAGCACGAAACUUGCCCCGAGAUGAGUUCUCCCUGAGACUUAAAGUCUCCUGAAGGAACGUUAAAGACGAUGACGUUGAUAGGUCGGGUGUGUAAGCGCAGCGAUGCGUUGAGCUAACCGAUACUAAUGAACCGUGAGGCUUAACCUUACAACGCCGAAG